rnacentral:misc_RNA from 1 species
CCGAGUUUACAACUCCCAAACCCCUGUGAACAUACCACUUGUUGCCUCGGCGAUCAGCCCGCUCCCGGUAAAACGGGACGGGCCCGCCAGAGGACCCCUAAACUCUGUUUCUAUAUGUAACUUCUGAGUAAAACCAUAAAUAAAUC